AAGCCGUCUUAUAUACUGAAGGAGCUGGAAGUGCCCCUUAUGGAUCUCCAGACAUGCAGUGACUACUAUCAGAAAGCAAACCUGCGUGGAAUCAAGCCCAUCAUCAGUGAAGCCAUGAUCUGCUCCAAGCUCCCAGUGGGGCAGACGGAUCAGUGUAUAGGCAGUAGAGGUGAUCCCCUGACGUGUAGAGUGGAGGAUUUCUGGGUCCUGGCAGGAGUGGUCAGCUGGGAGUCAAACUGCAUCCAAAACAAUGAUCCUGGAAUAUAUACAAACAUCAGUUUCUAUAAAUCUUGGAUUGAGAAGUCAGUCAUUUCACAUACUGACUUUUCUGCUGUCAUCAGUCUGUACUUCUCUGGGCUCCUCCCUGUAAUGCUUCUACCUCUCAUUUUCCUGGGGCUACCUUAAGUGGCUGAGGCUCCAUGCCCAGUGUGAAGCCCAAUGACCGAGCAAGACCUGAGGGGAGAUCACGUCGAAUUCCUAACCGACUGAGCCACCUAGGUGCUCCUAGAAGUUGAUAGUUUUGAUUAGAGAUUUUGAGGAGUCACCAAGACAGAUGCAGUUCUGCUAUUUCUGCUAGUCACCAUAAGCCUAACGUGUCUGUUGCCUUUUAUCCCCAAGUCAACCUGGAAAACAAGAUCCCCAGUGUUAAUAAAGUUUGGUU